GACGAACGCUGGCGGCGUGCUUAACACAUGCAAGUCGAACGGAAAGGCCCUGCUUUUGUGGGGUGCUCGAGUGGCGAACGGGUGAGUAACACGUGAGUAACCUGCCCUUGACUUUGGGAUAACUUCAGGAAACUGGGGCGAAUACCGGAUAGGAGCUCCUGCUGCAUGGUGGGGGUUGGAAAGUUUAGGCGGUUGGGGAUGAACUCGAGGCUUAUCAGCUUGUUGGUGGGGUAAUGGCUUACUAAGGCUUUGACGAAUAGCCGGCCUGAGAGGAUGACCGGCCACAUUACGACUGAGAUACGGCGCAGACGCCUUCGGGAGGGAGCAGUGUAGAAUAUUGGACGAUGAAGCGAAGCCUGAUGCAGCAACGACGCGUGCGGGAUGACGGCCGUCGGGUUGUAAACCGCUUUCGCCUGUGACGAACAGUGAGUGACGGUAAUGGGUAAAGAAGCCCCGGCUACCUACGUG
rnacentral:rRNA from 1 species